rnacentral:rRNA from 1 species
AAACUUAAAGGAAUUGACGGGGCCGCACAAGCGGUGGAGCAUGUGGUUAAUUCGACGCAACGCGAAGAACCUUACCAGGGCUUGACAUCCCCUGACCGCGUAUGAAAGUACGUUUUCACCCUCGGGUGACAGGGAGACAGGUGGUGCAUGGUUGUCGUCAGCUCGUGUCGUGAGAUGUUGGGUUAAGUCCCGCAACGAGCGCAACCCCUACGUUUAGUUGCUAACGCGUGAAGGCGAGCACUCUAGACGAACUGCCGUUGACAAAACGGAGGAAGGUGGGAUGACGUCAAAUCAUCAUGCCCCUUAUGUUCUGGGCUACACACGUGCUACAAUGGCCGGUACAGACGGACGCAAAGCCGCGAGGUGGAGCAAAUCCUAAAAAGCCGGUCUCAGUUCGGAUUGCAGGCUGCAAUUCGCCUGCAUGAAGUCGGAAUCGCUAGUAAUCGCAGGUCAGCAUACUGCGGUGAAUACGUUCCCGGGCCUU